AUCACACAUGUUUUAAAGUGACUUGAUAAUUAAUAUUGUUACACUUGAGAAAAAUCCUGGCUCUCCAUGGAGAAGUCAUGUCAUGAGUCAGAAGAGUGCAGGCUGAGGCAUGCCCUCCACUGAAUGGCUUGUCUGCACUCUGAAAGCCAAGUGAACCAACCAUUCCAUCCGUAUGAAGAGCGUAAGUCCUAGAUUUGCGUCGUGAUGUCAUCUCAGGUACUGCACCAGGGAAGAGGUGGUCAUCAACUAUGAAGGAAUCCAGACCUUUAAUCCUGUAGAGCUUCCAAGUAAGGAUAAUGGGUCAACUACAACCUUCUUCCUAGGAUAUGUCGACGUG
rnacentral:lncRNA from 1 species